rnacentral:misc_RNA from 1 species
CAGAAAGCUAGUCAAGAGUUCUGUCCUGGUUCUUGAACCUUCAAAGGCUUCAAGCAUUGAAUCUGUGUUUCGUGUUAGUCCAUUGCUUACACAUGCAAAAUGAUUUGCAUAUAGCUAAAUAUGCUAUUAUCGUCGUUUGGAAGUUGAAGCUGUUCUUGUAGGACGGAUAACAAAGACAUGCUUUCCCGUGUCCGAAAUAUUUACAGGAUUCAGGAAGUUCUUAGUUGUCCAAAAUGAGUUAUGUAUACUUGAUAUUGGUGAGUUAUAGUGAAGCUCCUAUAUCUCUUGAAUUCAUGCAUAAGUUAUCGUCUUUUUGCCGAGAUUCAAG